AGUGAACGCUGGCGGUAGGCCUAACACAUGCAAGUCGAACGGCGGCACAGUAAGAGCUUGCUCUUACGGGUGGCGAGUGGCGGACGGGUGAGGAAUACAUCGGAAUCUACUUUUUCGUGGGGGAUAACGUAGGGAAACUUACGCUAAUACCGCAUACGACCUACGGGUGAAAGCAGGGGAUCUUCGGACCUUGCGCGAUUGAAUGAGCCGAUGUCGGAUUAGCUAGUUGGCGGGGUAAAGGCCCACCAAGGCGACGAUCCGUAGCUGGUCUGAGAGGAUGAUCAGCCACACUGGAACUGAGACACGGUCCAGACUCCUACGGGAGGCAGCAGUGGGGAAUAUGGGACAAUGGGCGCAAGCCUGAUCCAGCCAUACCGCGUGGGUGAAGAAGGCCUUCGGGUUGUAAAGCCCUUUUGUUGGGAAAGAAAAGCAGCAGGUUAAUACCCCGCUGUUCUGACGGUACCCAAAGAAUAAGCACCGGCUAACUUCGUG
rnacentral:rRNA from 1 species